GAGCAUUUCUAAAUGACUUGAAGCUCUGUCACGGCAUAAUCUCUUAUAAAUAAAUGUCAGUGUAGUCACUGAAUGCAGACUGGAUUUUUGCCUGACUACGGUGCUCAGCCUUCUAGACAAUAGUUAUGCUAAGGGAUUAUCUUUUAACAUUGUGCAGUUAUCUCCUUUGUUUGUUUUCUUUUUUCAUUAUUCACAUAAGCCAAGGGAAAUGAAAAGCAUCUUAUUUCAGGCAAAAAGGCCUGUGAAUGAUUAACUCUGGUUCCAUGCGUUGGGACUUUGCAUAGCAACCCCGUGGCUUGCAACGACAAAAAAGCUCAAGGCAGGAACAGCAGCCCAGGGACCUGAGACCAGCGUUCUCAAAUGAAGCCAGAUCUGCUGUUAGAGGAGAAUUCUUCUGUCCUAGCUGUGUCUCUGUGAUCUGUGGAUGAGGGUGGGAAAGCACCACUCAGUCAAUUGGGGUGUACAAAAUGGAGUUUGAGAAGGUCUCACAUCCAGGUUGUUUUGAAGCAAAGUCCAAGCAUUGUAUCACUUCAUCUGCAAAUAUUUCAAUAAGUACCCAAAAGUGGUUGGACUGAGUCCCAUGAAGCCAGAUCACUUCUGACUGCAAGGAGCUUGGAAAAGCAAGUAUCUGGAUCUUUUACCAGCUAAAUUUGGAGAAUUAUUGAUCAAAUUUGGAUCUCUGUGUGCUGUCCUCCAAUUUAAUACUUUCUGUGUUGCUGUUUUAUUUUCUUUCUUCUGGAACCUGGCAAAGUGCGUCAAGCGAUGAGGCUUCCUCUUUGAAGAUCACAGGUGAGAAGAUUAGGUGCUUUCUCAGAAGCCCAGCAACCUGAUGGGAGUGUGGAGUGAGCAAGACCCAAAUCGGAGCUUCAUCCCUGCAUGGUUCAUUUUGCUUAUUUGGCAAACUUGCCCUGCAGAAUCUACUCAAGCUUCCUCAGUUUCUCAAAUCAUUCUUGGGCAACAAAUGAACAAGAAAGAGGACGUCUUAUUAUCUGGUGUCUGGCUUGCUGAUUUAAUAACCUAGGAGACAGUGUUUGAAGAACACAAACUCUAAAGUCCUUCACUUAAAAAAAAAAAAAAACUUUCCCAAAUUGCUUACCAUUUGGAAAAAUUGCCUUACCUUCUUCAGUCAUCUCUGAUGUUGUCAUCCUCAGAGUAAGAAGUACGCAUUCAUAAGGAACCAUAACGUCCUUCAGGAAAUCCAGUACACCCUACAAUUUUACCUAAAACUUUGAUGUUGUUUUUUCUGAGCAUUUUACCUUCUAGGGAAAUGGAUCUCAUGCUGUUUAUCAGUUUCUGAAAGUUGUUAUUAAUCUCCCCUCAUCCCAAAAUUGAAGAACUUUGCUUAAAUCUUAGAAUCAGAACUUUGGCUCCAGUAAUAAAGACUUUUCAAUAUCUUUAUCUGCCAUUGAGUCUUACCUAACGAAAUAAAGCCUCCAAAGUGGGAAUUUGAAA
rnacentral:lncRNA from 1 species